GAGGGUAAAGCUCAGUGGUAGAGCACAUGCUUAGCAUGCAUGAGGUCCUGGGUUCAAUCCCCAGUACCACCA
rnacentral:tRNA from 1 species